UACAGAGGGGGCAAGCGUUAUUCGGAAUUAUUGGGCGUAAAGGGCGCGUGGGCGGCCUGGCAAGUGGAAGGUGAAAUCCCUCGGCUUAACCGAGGAACUGCCCUCCAAACUGCUUGGCUUGAGACCGGGAGAGGUGAGUGGAAUUCCCAGUGUAGCGGUGAAAUGCGUAGAUAUUGGGAGGAACACCAGUGGCGAAGGCGGCUCACUGGACCGGUACUGACGCUGAGGUGCGAAAGCGUGGGGAGCAAACAGG
rnacentral:rRNA from 1 species